rnacentral:misc_RNA from 1 species
UUAUAACAAGUUGCAAGAGGAUGUAAGAAUAAAGAGAUCGACAUCGAUCGUACGCGCUGGACUCGGCUCCUUCGACGAAAACUCAUCUCUCCCCGAUUUGCGGUCGGCCGCAUCCGCCCGCGCACUGGACCGAACGAGACGCGACGCGACCGAGUAUCUCCGAGCGUCGGCGGAGGCGCACGAGUAGUCGGCUCGAAACGCGCUCGCGCGACGGAUCGGCCGCGCGUUUAACCUGCGCUCUCCUCUCGCUCUGACACGCGCAUCGAGAUACGUCGUCGCGUCGAGAGAUCUUGGCAUCUCCGAAUCGGAAGUACACUCAUUCUCUCUCUCCUCCUCCCCGCGUAUAUCCGGUCGCGGUCUUUAUCCCGCGAUCGAGCGCAUUUUCGAAAAGAGGCGCCCGCGAAUCUGUCGCGCCUCGUCGAGAUUCGUCGUGCUUGAGCGCGUUUUUAAAAAUACGCGCGCUCCCCGCGUCGCAGUGAGAUCUCGUCGUCCUCGAGGGGAUAUCAUUUGGAGGAAAACGGAGACAAGUGUCGCGCGAAAGUGCAAAGUGUGCAUGAUUCCCGGACGACGCGCUCUAUCGAAUUCCGAGUAUAUUGACACCUACCGAAGAGGGUGAACGACACGCGAUCGAGCGCGACACAUCGUGUUCGAGGCGUCGGAUGGACCGAGCGUAGCAUCCUUGGAAAGAGUGCACGCGCCGUCAACCGAUCAGCUCGGGAAUAGCGAGAUACGAAGGAAGCGGCCUCCAUUCGCAGACGACACCUUGACGAGGCUCGUUAUGGAUUCCCACCCGAUGGGGGCACUAUGCAGACUGAGGAAGUCGUGCCGCGUGCACAGUCUGUUGGCAUAGAUAGUAGUCUGACCGACGACGCUGGUUUGCAGCAUCAUUUGCAUCACUCGUCGCAUUUACAUUGUCCGUUACCACCCGUGAUCCACAUGGCCGUUAAGCAAGAGCCUCAGGAGGAGGAAGAGCGAAGUCGCGAUGCGAGCACGUUGAGUCCGCAAGUGGAUGCGAUCAACGCCACGGGUUCGGUGGACAAGCAAGUUGGCCAUCAUCAAAUUCAAGGACUGGAGGACAAUUCAACGUUAGUUCCAGAUGCUAACAACCGAGGACGAUCCAGCCGUGGUCGCAGAAAAUCGCGAUGGAAGCUCAAGUUUCAUCAUCAGGCGCUUCCGCCGGAAUACUUGGAUCACUACGAGGCUUCAUUGGCUCAGGAAAACCUGAGUUCGUCGCCACCGCGAACCAUCGAACCGGCGGCACCCAGCCCAGCGCCGACGAGCUCGACGUCCACUCCAAGUCCUAUCGCCGACACUCACAGUUGGUUACAACGGAUCGCAGCGAUGCAGCAGGAGCUCUGUCCACACGUCGCGUCUGUGCCUCAGAAUCCGACUCCUGGUCAUGACAAUCAAGUCACCAGUACUAGGAGAUCCGUUAUCACGUCCGCGUCCUCGCAAGCCUACUCCAACGCACCAUAUCCCAAUCAUCAUGCUCAGCAGACGCAAUCGCAAACGUCUAGCAGACCGCCAAUGAAGUAUUCCGAUCUUCCCUACAUGGGCGAGAUCACCCUCGAUAAUAGCAAGCCUAGACGCGGCCGAAAGCCGAAGAAAGCUGAUAUCUGCCAUUUAAUUUACAAGAAUUAUGGCACUAUACUGCCGGGUACGCCCGGUCACGAGGAGAGAAGACUGUCGCCUCGGGACAAACAGGAUUCUCAGGACCGUGUAUCGCCACAUCUGCCUUUUCAGAAGACGGAUGUGCAAAACAGAAUAAGUAGUUUGUUGGAGAAGCGGCUGACACAGGAGACUAGACGGAAUUUUGUCGCGCUAUCUGAGAGCGCGCGGGAGCAGGAUGAACCAUUGAAUCUCUGCAUCAGAGAUCUCAACCAGUUGAAGAUUCGACUACUGCGGAAGCAUGGGAACGUUUAUGAAUCCGGUCAAAUGAAGAGCGAGACGUCCAGUGACGGUGAAGAAGUGGAAUGUCUUGGAAGCGCUUUUUUAUCGGAACCGAUCAACUACUCGGACUCGAUAAUCCAUCGUUCAAACAACAGUCUCGUCAAUCAUAAUAACAACGUGAUCGAUCCGAUGAUCGGCCACAACUCUGGUUUCGUGUAUUGGCCAAACACCGGCGUAUUCAUCCAUCCGAUGGCUCUGCAGUCUCAAUUGCUGUAUUAUCAGAAGGUUGCUCAAGGUGACAAGUGCUCGCCGCGGCCGACGGAUCAACCGCCGAGGGAGCAGAAAAUCGUGCCCAAAUCGAUAUAUUCGAUGAUGGAGACCAAAAGCAUACCUCAAGUGUCUGCGCUACCUGUGUCUCAGGCGACGCCGACGCCGACGCCGACGCCGACGCCGACGCCGACGCCGACGCCGAUCGCUGCACCACCGUCACCUAGACCGAAGAGGAACGCUCCUCUAAAUCAGCCGCAGAAUCAGCCGACUAAGCGAAAGCGUUCCGCAAUAUUUAUACCACCGAUACCGACGGAAAACAACAACAAUCCGGCGACGGAAGUGAGUAUAUGCAAGUUCAAAUUCACCGGCGGCGCCAAGCCUAGUCUACAGGAAAAGAAGAGUCUCUCCGUGGAUUCGGGCGGCAAUUUCCGCUAUUACAGUGGCACAGGUGACAAGAGUAUGCGCGGCUACGAGUUCUUCCCUAGAGAAGCCCUUCAACAGCCGGCGAGCCAGUCCGGGACGACCUCCGCCGCCGGAGCUUUCCUCAGCGCUGCCGGCGAGAGAAUCCAAUCCCCGAUUACAUGCCAGAGAAACCCCAUCAGCCAGGAUGACGGACGACGAAAGAGAAAAACUAGGAAGUCCCUGCAGCGCGAGAAGCUGGAGCAGACCUUCAAAGAGAAGGGCUUUCUCAUUCAAACGCAGCAACUAGAGUCCGCGGAGGGUGCCACGUACUGCAAAUUCCGGCAGCUCAGGAAAUUCACCAGAUAUCUGUUCAGAAGCUGGAAAGACUAUUUGCCCGGUAAUGUGCGCGAACUGACCGGCAACGGCAGCGGUGCCAAUGCGAUAAACGGCGAUGCGACCGAUCUUGACGUCGAGGGAGACGCCGCUCUCGUUCAUUCUCCGCUUCCUCGUGGCAAUCUAUUGGAAGUGCCGAACAACUUUGUGGAGGAUCAUCAGACUUUGCCCCUCACGUGAGAUUUGACAUUCGCGACGUGUCAGUUGAUGAACGGAAGUCAUGACAUGGUACGACAGUAUCGUGUCAUGAUGCGCGUCAUGAAGAUAGAGAAACAAACUGGAUUUCAGCUUUGUGCCAAAGAUGAGAGAGACUGGACUAUGUGUAUGUAUAUAUAUUCCGGUCUAGAUUAUACCCGCAUAUGUCCGCGAGAACGGGUUAACCAAAGAGUGAAAUUUUGUGCUCGCCAUAUCUAUAUGGGAUCGGAGAUACGCGGAGAUAAUUCGUGUUUAGACUAAUAUCGGACUGCGAUGCAUUUGGGAUGGUAUCGGAUGAAAAUCAGAGACUUGCAUCGAUACCGUCGCCACGUCAUAUUUUUCUAAGCGAAUCGUCUAACGAUAAAUCUAGUCUUAUUUAUAUAUUCUUGUUAUAAAAUUGUAAACAUGUUUUCUCGUUUUUACAUGGGACGGAUAUUUAUAUUACGUUAUAAUAACGCUAUGCGCGUAUCAGCGUUAUUACAAGUAAUAUACUGCAGGUACAAAAAGAAAACGGGCGAGCUUAUAUACAUGACAGCGUCGAGACAAUAGGCGCAAUUGAUUCGUUUCGUCGAUUCGUUACACGUUUCGGAACAAAUAUUUGAGCAGCUGUUUACAAAUGCAAAGUGCUUGUAUAUUAAAAGUAUACGAGAUGAUAGGGAUAUACUGUGCAAGAUUCUGAAAUAUUUUCUCCAAUAGAUUAAUUGAUCGAUGAUAUUGUUAUAGACCCGAUUAUUACGCUUACAUGUACUAGAUUCGUUUAAAGGGACUGAUAUAAUUUUGACGAGCUUUGUUUCCUAUUGAUGUGAAAAAUAGUUUUUAUAUCAAUUGUAAUAAUUCCAUGAAUUGUUACAAAUAUAGAAAUUAUUUUCGCAUAUUUAUGCAUUAAAAUUUAAACUUAUUUAAAUUUUUUCCAAUCUUUUAAUCGCUCAUACGUAUAUUCUAUUCUCAGCCCAAAAUGCGAAAAGACGCGAAUCUAUUGUCGAAUCGAAUCUCUUAUUAUAAGCAGGGUAACUAUGAGUCGAAAACCGUCCUACAUCAAGCUACCGUUGCCUUUUUUCAUAUGGCGACAUGUAAAAUUAUUUUAUACUUAUGCUCAUUGUAACGAGAUAAAGCCUUAUAGCCUAUAAUAAUGAAACGAAUUGUUAUCGAUAUGA